UGGAAGAAAGAGCCACAGUGACGCCAGGAGA
rnacentral:piRNA from 1 species